UACGGGGGGGGCAAGCGUUGUUCGGAAUUACUGGGCGUAAAGGGCGCGUAGGCGGUCAGAUAAGUCAGCUGUGAAAACCUCGGGCUUAACCCGAGGCCUGCAGUUGAAACUGUUUGGCUGGAGUGUGGGAGAGGAGAGUGGAAUUCCCGGUGUAGCGGUGGAAUGCGUAGAGAUCGGGAAGAACACCCGUGGCGAAGGCGGCCGACUGGGCCGGAUCCGACGCUCAAGCGCGAAAGCGUGGGGAGCAAACAGG
rnacentral:rRNA from 1 species